CGCUCCACUCCACGCCGGGCGACCGGCCCCGCAGAGCCCUGCCCCGGGGAGGGCAGAGCAGCGAUCCCACCCCGCGGAAGGCGGGAGAGAUUGUGUGUGUUACAUUUUGUCAGACAGUAACUUCCUUAUGGCCACUGCAAAAGAAACCUGGACUUCUGCAUAAUGCUUUGAAGGUGGCACAGCACAGUUGUAGUACUCUUGGUCACAGCAGGAAAACUGCAGAAGAUGCUGCCCGAUUUCUGUACAUCUCUGAUAAUUUGCAGAGAGAUUGCUAGGAGGUUUAACUGGAGUGUAAAUAUUGUCUCCCUCCCAAAUUGGAUUUUUACUGACAAUCAGAAGACGUAAGUGAUGGGAACAGACUGCAGAGUUUAGAGAAAUGAAAUCUCCUAUAGAAACACAGAAUGCAGACCAACAAACAUUUCAUGUGAAAUGUGAACACUACUUCGAUAACAAUGUUUGAAUAUGGAAAAGUAGUUCAGUGUUGAAAUGGGUGACCUACAGAAGAAGAGCUUUCAACACUCACACUGAGCUGCAAAAUGAGCUUUAUCAGAAACAGAAUUUAAAAGAUAUUCAAUAAACUGUGAAGAUUUUGUUAAACUUUAAAAAGUAAAAAACCGAAAACAACAACAACAACAAAACUAGGUCAGUUUCUUUCAGAAAAAUAUUGACAUUCAAUGUCUUUACUUGAAAAACAGAAGAGUAACAGAUUAUUCACGUGGGCUAAAUCUGGAUUUCCCUACUCCUCUGGGCAAUCCUUGCCCAAGUGGAACCUGAGACAGCCCAGUGGCCAGCUUUGCCUCGAGGGGUUUAUCUGUGUACCAGGGAAGCAGGAUUUAGCAACUUGCACUGACAUCUUUGGCAGUUUAGUGGUUGGAAACAGGAGAAAGCAAGGGGAAACAGAGGUAAUAAGGAGAAAACAAGGAAAAUUUGUCUAUGUACAUUUUCAUUUUGCGCUACACAAGAGUACUGAUGAAUAAAGAUAUAAUCUGUAAUUAAUCUGUUCCAGGUUAAUGACAGCCAUCAUUCCCUUCACACUGCAAUCAUUUUGUAUUUCUUACGUGCUCAUCAGAGCACCUUCUUCCCAAAGGCAUCAGAUACUGUUUAUUUCUCUUCGCACAGAAAUAUAUACCAUAGGUUCUAAUCCACUAAUAGACAGUAUUAACUGGUUUGUUUAAACAAAACAAUCAUUGUAAACCAAAACUAAUAGUUUCACUGAAACUAGAUUCUCAUCUGUAGCCACUGACUCCAAUAGGCUUUGGAUCAGGCCCUAAAACAGGCAUGAUAGCAUCAGUCUCACAUCCAGUGGUUGUAGAUGAUACAGAGACUGAAGUUGCACAGACUUUGUAAAUAUUCAUUACAAAAUGGACAACAAGUUUUUAGAUCAAAUGCAUAAUUUACCACAGGGAAUGUACCUUACCAUCUGUGACUGUGCCAGUGUAUCUUUGUUUUCUAAGUCUUCUCUUCUAAGUACAUGUAUUUUGACCAUCUAUUCCAGAGCAUAAAAAGAAAGUGAUAUUGAAAAGUAAACUACACUAUUGUUAGUCUAAAAUAGCCCAGAACUAUAGCUUUUUAAUCCAUUGGGUUAGCUGACGUUGUUGAGGCUUCUUUUCUUAAUGUCAAGACACCAGCAUUACAAUUUAAGAAGUUAUGGUGAGUCAUUAAUACUAAGUUAAAAGUGAGAUUUAAAAAUCCUCAGUAGUGGCAUGAAAAUUAAUAGCAGGUGGAAUUCACUGAUCUAUUUAUUGCUUAGUUUGAAAAAAAAAAUGCCCCAAAGAGUUGAAUGUAUAUUAUUUCACACAUCAGUACAUGGUUUGGCUGGUGGGCAUUGAAACCUCUCAGUUUAGGGUUUCUCAACAAAAAAACUACUAUCUUUGUGAUACUAAGCCUUUGUGCAUCAGCUUUCCAUGCAUGUAAAGAGCUCAUGCAGGAGUUCAUGUAAUGGUCUGGCAUGAGAAGUUUAUUCUGAAUACCUAAACAGGAUGUGAAUGGUCAAAAUCCUCUGAUCUAAAAUUUCUCUAUUGCGGUCUCUAAUUUGUAAAUAUUUCUCUUUUGCUCUUGAUCCUCUCUACUGAAAUUUAAAGGAAAGAGGGGAAUAGUCUUUCAUACCUGGACAGAAAGCAAUUAUGUGAGUGAACUAGGGCUUGAUUUAGCUUUCCCUGAGAUAAUCUUAGGGGUUUGAUUCUUAAACCACAUCAAACAGCAACCAAUUCAAGGUCAAGGAAAGAGGGAAGUGGGAGAAGAAGGAAGAGCUGGAGAGAAGUAUUUCCAUAUACCUUAGGUACAUGGAAGUUAUGCCAUAACACACAUCACUCGUUUCCGAUGAAAACCUGUUAAGUUACAGAGUCAAUAUGAGAAACCAUUGACCUCCUUAGUUUAAGCAGCAUUUAUGAAAAAUUUACCUUGUUAAAUGUAAGCCAGCCCACCAAACAGACUGGUAUAAAUACAUUCCUAAACACAAACAUAUAAGAUUCAGUGGAUGAACAAAGUCAUAUACAGCUCAGUAUUAAUGAGCUAAUUACAAAUAUUAGGUGAUACCAUUUUUCUGAAAUGAAGGUGGUUUAAUAUAAAGUUUUUAAAAAAUAUGUUUCUAUUAACUUUUGCUACUAUUAUUAUCUAUAGUUCUCUCACCACAAGAUAUAUUUUAUCUAACAGAAUGAUUAUACUACUGCAGUGUGCAAAUAAAGAGCACAUAAUCAACGGAGAAGAGUCAAAAAUUAGUGUUUUUAGAUUUUCUGACAGUAAAACUA